CCUACGGGUGGCUGCAGUGGGGAAUAUUGCACAAUGGGCGCAAGCCUGAUGCAGCCAUGCCGCGUGUGUGAAGAAGGCCUUCGGGUUGUAAAGCACUUUCAGCGGGGAGGAAGGCGUUAAGGUUAAUAACCUUGUCGAUUGACGUUACCCGCAGAAGAAGCACCGGCUAACUCCGUGCCAGCAGCCGCGGUAAUACGGAGGGUGCAAGCGUUAAUCGGAAUUACUGGGCGUAAAGCGCACGCAGGCGGUCUGUCAAGUCGGAUGCGAAAUCCCCGGGCUCAACCUGGGAACUGCAUUCGAAACUGGCAGGCUAGAGUCUUGUAGAGGGGGGUAGAAUUCCAGGUGUAGCGGUGAAAUGCGUAGAGAUCUGGAGGAAUACCGGUGGCGAAGGCGGCCCCCUGGACAAAGACUGACGCUCAGGUGCGAAAGCGUGGGGAGCAAACAGGAUUAGAUACCCGAGUAGUC
rnacentral:rRNA from 1 species